ACCAAUAAUACAAAAAAAAAAAAGGAUGAUGCUUCUUCGCCUCUACCGUGGGAUGAGCGGCUUGUUGGGGUGCCGGCAUUGAUUUCUUCUUCCUCCCCAAGCCAACAUCAAUUACCACAGUAGAAGAAAAAGAAGGAAGAAGAAGAAGAACAAAGAGCUAAAGAAGCCACCCGCUCCAGGUUAAGCUUCUCCCCCAAGUCUUCUUCCUUCCUCCUCUCUCUUCGCUCUUUCUCUCUCUCUCUCGCUCUCUAUCAUUCUCUGUCCCUUUACAGAUCCGCCAUUAAAGCGCUCACGCCCCUUCCCCACGAGAAAGCAAGCGAGGAGCAACCAACCAAGCAAAGCUGUAGUCCGCCUUGACCUUUCACGCACAUCCACGACCACAUCCCUCUUCUUUAUUAGUCCCCUUCCGCGCUCUGCUUCAAGAACCAAAGAAAGAAAGAGAGCAGAGCAGACCGGAGCAAAGUAGAUGAUGAUGGCGAUGAUGGUGGAGCGAUGCUGCUGCGUUCGAACUCACCGUUUCUUGGCUUUGUUCUUGCUGCCACUGGGGUUCGCAUUGUUGGCGUCUUCCAGGGACGUGGUGGGAAUUCUGGACCCGGUGGACUUCCUGGCGCUUCAGGCUAUACGCAAGGGCCUCGAAGACAUGCCUGGCUCCGAUUUCUUCUCCGACUGGGACUUCACGGCCGACCCCUGUGCUUUUCCGGGCGUGUUCUGCGCUGGGGACCGCGUCAUGGCCCUCGCCCUGGGCGACCCCCGUGCCGGCUACCCCGGCCUCCAGGGCAGCCUCGACCCCGCCCUCGGCCGCCUCUCCGCCCUCGCCGAACUCUCCCUCGUUCCCGGCCGCGUCACGGGCCCGGUCCCCGACGAGCUCGCCGGAUGCCCCGACCUCCGCUUUCUCGCUCUCAGCAAGAACCUGCUCUCCGGCCCCAUCCCUGCCGGCCUCGGCGCCCUCCCCCGCCUCCGCACCCUCGAUCUUAGCUACAACCAGCUCUCCGGUCCCCUCCCCGCCUCCCUCACCGCCGCUCCGACCCUUUCCAACCUCAUCCUCUGCCAUAAUCAGCUCUCGGGCACCCUCCCGCCUUUCCCGGACGCCGCCUCCCUCCUCCGCCUCGACCUCAAGCACAACCAGCUCUCCGGCCCCGUGCCGUCGUUGCCGCCAUCCCUGCAGUAUCUCGCCCUCAGCCACAACACCCUCACCGGCCCCGUGGACACCGUGCUUCCGCGCCUCACCCGGCUCAUCUUCCUGGACCUCAGCUCCAACCUGCUCGAGGGUCCCAUCCCCGGGUCCGUGUUCGAGUUCCCGCUCGCGGCGCUCCAGCUGCAGCGCAACGCCUUCUCCGGGAAAGUGGAGCCGCCGCAGGAGGACGUGGUCAUCCCGGUGGUGGACCUGAGCUACAACCGGCUGUGGGGGGCCGUGCCGCCGCAGCUGGCCGCCGUGGGUCGGCUCUACCUCAACAACAACCGGUUCUCCGGGGAGGUGCCGAGCCGCCUGGUGCAGGGGCUCAGCAACGGGAUGCAACUGCUCUACCUCCAGCACAACUUCCUGACGGGUAUCGAGAUAGGGCCCGCGGCUGCAGCCAUCCCCGUCGGUGCGUCGCUGUGCCUGCAGUACAAUUGCAUGGUGCCGCCGUUCGACACGCCCUGCCCACUCAAGGCCGGCACACAGAAGAUGCGCCCCGUCUAUCAGUGCCCCGACUGGAGAGGCUGAUCGCCCACAGCCGCCACUGCCGGAGUGGGCCAAAGAAUCAACCAGGGGAGGGAUCAAAAGAAACAAAGGGAGGAAGGAGGAAGAAGAGUUGCUGAUAUAUAUUUGAACAGUGGGUGGUAAUUUUGGGAUGGUUUCUGCUGCUUGAUCAAGCUGUUGUUUUGAUUGGUUAUUUGUCUUCUUAGUUGGUGUGUGCAUAAGGUAUGAAAUUAAGUUGUCAUGUAGAGAGAGAACUUAUAUUGCUGUUGCAUGAUUUCAUGGGUCUCUUGAAGUACAUGAUAUCUGUUUUAUAUUCUAUCCAGAAUUUAUAGUUAUUCCUUGUUUGGCUUAGGGA